UGGCAAUCUUGUCCGUCCAUUUUUCACUGGUGGAGUAGUCAAGGACGCGAGGCCCUCGCGCUACCCGUUUUUUAUCCACGGGUCGAUGAAGCCCAUCCGGCCCGGCGUUGGCGCGUCGUGCCCUAUCCCAAUCCUCUCCAAUCCAGCAGCCGCCGCCUCUCCCGCUCCCCGCCCGUCGCUCCCGCUUCCGCAGCCGUGGCUCCCGCUCCCCGCCCGUCGCUCCCGCUCCCCGCCGUCGGUCUCCUCGCCCGCCCUCGUCCCCGUCGCAGCACGCCGCCGCGCUAUGGGAGGAGCGGCUCGGCUGGGCAGGAACUUGUGUGUGGCGGCGGAACACGAUGUCGACGGUCCGGAGGUUCGGGAUGGCGGCGGAACACGAUGUCGACGGUCCGGAGGUUCGGGAUGGCAGCGGCGGCCGCCGCGUUCAUCGCCUUCGCGGCCUUCGCAUCGGCGUCGGCGUCCAGGCCGGCCUCCUUCGUCAAAUCCACCGUCAAAGCACGCGACGUCGUGAUCUUCUCCAAGUCAUACUGCCCGUAAGGCCCUCUCCCGUCUCCCCUCAGUCCUCGAUUCGAGUUAAUCCUCUCCCUGUUUGCGCUGGUGAGCCACGACACUAGGAUCUGAUUGCGGUGCUGUAAAUUGUCUGGUUAGGGCUUCAAUUGUAUAAUGGUGAGAGUUUUUUUUUUGUUAGGAACAGAGAGAAUUGAUUUCCUUUGCAGGAUCCAAAACUGUAGAUCGGUCGACUUUUGAAGAUCCAGGUAUUCAUCCGUUUCUUGAUUCUUGAAACAGUAAAUGUUGGUACUAUAGUUAACACUGGGUGUUAAUGCGGUCAUCUGGCCUUACUUUGUGUUUGUGAUCCAAGUGUAUAAUAGGUCACAGUUCUUGAGAAUUGAGACGCUAAGUGAUAAGAGAAGUGAGAGUUAACUUUUUACUCUGCUUGUUUGAUCUGUCAAAAAUUACUCUAUUUUGUCUGUUGUAGUUAAUCUAACAAGGCUUUUGUGUCAUGUCAUAGACACUAGGCGAUUGCAGGAGAAUCUGGUCAUCUACUUUCCUUUUAGAACGCCCUGUUAUGUCAGCUUGUUCGAUCUGUUAGUGAUUCUUCAGUCUGAUUAGCUCACAUGAAUUUCUUGCAAGUAUAAUGAAAAAGCCCUUAACUCAAAUGUCUGUAUGAAGUUGCGUAUUUCACCACUUAUAUGGUCAGAUAACAUGAAACCUUUAAAUGGGAAGACACUGAUGUAACUGAGAUAUGAAUAUCGAAUUGUAAUUCUGGGAGAGAAUAAUCAAUUAUGAGGAUACUGCCCAUAGAUGCAAAACCCAACUACUUGACUGUUGUGGUACUGCCAGAAGAAACUCUAUGUUUAAGUACCUCGACUUCUGCAGGUAUUGUAGAAGGGAAACAUUAUCGGCUGCAUCCAUUUUCUCUCAUCUCUUUCCUUUAUUUUCCACUCUGCAGGUUCAGUUGCAUGUUUGUCUGCUGAUUUGUUCAUCACGGAAGGGUUUAGGGUAAAAGAGUAAGAAGAUGAUAAAAUGUGGUCUUACAUAUGGAUUUACACUGCAACUGAAUUGUUAUUUUUUUUACCAAUUCCUAUAUAUAUUCAGGCCUUUUAUUUUUGCCUUUGUCAAUAUCAGUGCAGUAUUAGGUGAUGUUUUCGUUUAGGCAUAGCCUUAUGAAAUCCCGUUUCGCUGCAGUUCUUCACCUCUGUUUUGGUGGUUUUCCAGUUUAGGCACAUCCAUACCAAUGUGUUAUUUGUAUAGAUAAUCUGGUUGUUUGUUAUUUCCAUCUUGAACAAUGCAAGAUGAUCAAUACAUGUCAUUAGCUGGUUAGCUCAUGACUGAAAUGGGCUACCUUGGCCAGGAACAUCAUGUGUCCUUUAAUUUCUGGGGUUGAAGUCAUUUAGUUUCAGUAUCAAAAAUUCUUGAAUUGGGGGGAGGGGAACUUGGCGAUUCAUGGCAGAGAGGAAAGAGGGGUAUAUUAAAGGUCUGAUCUAUACAAUACAAGGUAAACAUAAUUUAGGUAUAUCACACUUGAGGCGUUUCUCCUUUUAUGAAAUAUAGUACAGUAAUCAUACAUUUUGGUUUCUGCAAUAAUUUUCAGUUGCUUCUAAUAUUGUUUGAUUUCUUUCACAUAAACAGAAGUACACGUUACCCCUUUUAAUUAAUACUUAUUAUUUCCACACCGUAAAUAGUAUUUUUCUUAGAACACAACAUUAUGGUCCCAUUUUUUACCAUCUGCAUGUUUAGUAUAUUCCUUUCAUAUACAAUGUAUAAAUCCUUAAAUAGUUCUCUGCAGCAUGUAUUUACAUUCUUAGUUCCGGACGUCAUUGGAUUUAUGUUGCGGGUGAAAGAACAAUGGAUCAGAGCUUAAGGUAGUUUAUGUAAAAAGUUUGUGGUCACUGUUUCCAAUAUAUGUUGGAUUUCUAGGUAGGUUCCGAGAUACACGCCAUGAAUGUUCUUAAAUGACUCAGCUGUCCUACUAAUUUUACUACCCACUUUUAAUUGUUCAAAACAAAAUCUAAGAGACGAAAAUGGUAUUUAAAUAGUUAUUUCUAGACCAUGGUGUGUAAAUACUGUAAAGUAAGCUUUGCUACUGAUUGAUUUUAUGAGAAAUCUCUUUGCGAAUAUUUCCUGUGGGGUCUAUCAUCAGUAAUCAUUCAGGCUUCUUCUAGGCACAUUUUAUAGAGGUUUAUGAUCGGUGGGGAACAUCUAUCUCAGCUCUCCAUUCUUCCUCUGGCCUCCUUUCAUGUUGUCAUUCCAGAGGUCAAAAUCUGACUUAGUGAAGAUGAUCGUUUCCCCGCUUAUUAUCGGUCUGAACCUUAAUAUCAGUGAAAGAGUGCUCGACGAUGAAAUUAUGUAUGACACAGAUGAGCUUUUUCUAGAUCAAGCAGCAAGAAAAUUAACCAUGUGAGUUUUUUUGGUGUGUUUUAUAGUAAAUAUUAAUUACUAACCUAUAUAAAUAUGAUGCAUCUGUUUAUAGGUACUGGCUUGCUUUUGAAUAUUGUUGCAGAUAAAGCACUAAAAUCAAUGUAGCAUUAUCAAUUGGGCACAGUUAGUAUCUAUAGCAGUAGCUGGUAAGAACUAAAUCUACCGUAGAGAGCAAGUACUGUUUAGUCUACAAAUGUCUUUUAAUCAAUGAGUUCUAUCUUUUUGACAGAUAUGCACAUGAUGCACCUGUUUUUGCUUAUGAUAGGUUUUCACUUGCUUUUGAAUAGUUGAUGCCAACCUCUUAAAGUGUGGAAGACUGUUUAAUCAUGGCUAUUACUACAACUGUUAGACUUGAGCCUUUUCUUUAUAACUCGAAAUAAUUUUUAUUUCACAUCGUUUGCA